GGUGCUGCGGCUGUGCGUCAUGGCGUCACGAAGCGGCGCCCGGGCCCUGAGCGUCGCUGUCGCGCCCGUCACGUGACGAGAAGGCGGAAGUGGCAGCGGCGGGCCGGGGCCAUGUGCAGGGCCGGGGCCAGCUCCUGGUGGCGCCUCCGGUGCCUUUUUGAGCCGCACAAGCCGGGGGCUCCCAGCGCACCGCAGGGGGUUUGGCUUCGCCGUCGCCUCCGGAGGCUCCGGCGUCCCCGCAGGGAUGCGCUCGGGAGCCUGCUGGUGUCCUAGCUCCCGGUGCGGCGGCAUGCUGUCCCCGCCAGAGGACCUCAGCUGUGGACGUAGAGCCCCGGCUCGGCUCUGCCACCCCCUGCUCUGCGCUGGUGUCUUUAGCACACCCCUGGCUCGGGUGGCUCCUGCUCUCACCGCCAGCUGCUGUGAGACCGUGAAAGACCUUCCCAAUGGACGAUGGUUCCAGGGCAAAGCAGCCUGACCUCUGUGAGCCACAGGGGCUCAUGUGGACCCUCCUGUUGCUGGCUCGACUGAUGGAAAAUGGCUUAAAGCUUCUGUUACCCUGCA